GCCAGUUUUGUGACGUCACGGAGGUCAGACAAUCCCUUCCAUUUGGCGCGGCUAGCCUAUUGGUUCCACGCGUGCGCGCGCCCCGUGACCACGCCCUGUUGCUGGUGAAGAUCAUAUUGAGGCAUUGGAAAAAGGAGCUCCCUCCAGUAUGCAGAUGACUCAAUAUCCUGAGAAGGCACCUUUAUUUAUACUGGAAGAUCCUGCAGAUACCUGCCUAACAAAACUCUGCUAUCCUUAAUGCUGUGGACUAGAAGGACCCACAUGAAGCCCAAGCUGCACUUCUGCUACAGAUGUGUGGAGAGGCCUAAGUCCAGCCCCUGAAUGUACUUUGGUUGGUGCUUCAGUCUCUGAGAGCCCCAAGGGUCCAGGCCUCCAUCCCUCCUCCGGGCUCCGCUCUGGGCAUCCAGAGGAGAAAGACUUUGAAGUCCUCAGGGGACUUGCAAGCAGAAGUGGGGGAAAGGGUACCACAAAUGGAGAUGAAAUCUGUCUUUACUUUCCUGAUGUUCCUGGGCUUCAAAGCCAGAGCCAUGAGCCAUGGAAAGGCGGAGUUGGAAAGGACGCUGUCUCUGAUGUGACAUUCUAUGCUCAAAAAUGCCUUUGCCUGGCCUCUUUGUGUGACUUCAGUUGGAUACCAGUAACAGCUGCUUUCAAGGUCAAGUCUGGAAUGUUCCAAGGCACUGGACAUGAGACAUUCAAGAGCCUGGAGAAGAGACAAACGUUGUCUGUGCAAGGCCAGAGACAAGUAAAGGAGCCAUGGCUACAGUUUGUGGACCAGUAGUCUCUGGACCCCCAGUCUUCAGACUCUUAGGCCAGGGCUUGAGUCUCAGAUUUUGUUGUUUGGCACAGUGAGUGAGCUGGGCAUCGAUAUGGAGUCAGGUAGAAUAGAAAACAGGACUUACACUGAUACAUUACCUUGGUAAAGCUGUUGUGAGUGAAUACAAGGUUGGAUGAAUCAAGAACCCUUGGCAACAAUUGAUGCUCAAGAAGGAGGUGACUGUCCGAGAAGUAAUGAUGCCACAUCAAGUUGGCUCAAUAAAGAUGCGCUUUGUGCAUUUGCUUGCUUCAG